CUUAAAUAUGUCCCAUGCGCAAUGAUGUGAGCGAGUGUAACACAUAUCUUCACAUAAAAUUCAUGACCACAUAAACAUAUUAUAAUUAGUUAUAAAAAUACUUAAGAAACAAGUAAGCAACAUCCUCACAAUUAAUUCUUUGAUGGUUCUCUCUUAAAGGUCAAUCUAUUUAUGACAUUUAUAAUGCUUCAUUCUUUGUUCCAUAUCUGGGACAUUGUUUAGAGAUUCAUUUCCUGCAUACAUCAAAAUAUGUAUCAAAAAAUCGUCUUCUCUGUACACUGUCUUCGUACAUAUGCAUUAUAUACAACAAUGUUAUAAAAAAUUCAUGUGCAACAUGUAUACAUAGUUACUUUUCAAAUAACAAUACACCAUAAUAAUUAUGAAGAUACAUACCGAAUAUACCUGUUUAGAAGUGUUGGAUGAAAAAUCCCCCGUAAAGUACUCCAUGAAUUUAACAUCCACAGACCAUAGGAUGAGCAUGAUUUACAGAAUUUGAAUAUAUUAUAAAUAAAAAUAAUUAUCAAUUUAUAUAAAUAGUUUUAUAAAAAUAAUUGAAAACAUUAAAUUAUCAUGACUGAACCUUUAUUUUUAACCCUUGCCCUAUCUACAAGAAGAAUCGCACGACUCCAGCUAAAUAGGACACGCUCUAAUAAUCCUUAAAAAAUUACACGCUGGAAUAAAAAAAAUGGAAGGCCCAGACCCCACACUCACUCACGGUCUCAAACCCAUCACCUACCUCCCCACCGCCCAUCGAGUUGCUGCCCCUGUCUCUCAGUCGUUCCCCAUUCCGUAAUCUUCAGCUCCCUCUCACGACCUCACCCUCCCCUUCGUCCCUACCUCUAGCGCGAGGACUCACACGCCCUGCUCUUCCCCGCCCCUUCCAGUCGAACCCGGUCACCGAAGUGCACGAGGAGGCGCUCGAGCUAGUCGUGCUCGCGGGCGAGCCGGCCUUAGGCGACGUCGGAGGCGGAUGCGGAGGCGUGGGACUCACCGGCGGCGACGCCCUGCCCUGCCUGGCCUCACCCGCGGUGAGACACGCCGUCCCGCGUCACCCGCGCCCAGCUCGAGUACGAAGGCGUGGAGCAAGAUGGCGGGGCCGCCGUGGCCGUGGCGGCGGGUUGUGGUGGUCGAUCUCGGCGAGGCGGCGACGACUGCGGCUCCAUGGCGAGCGCGAGGCGGGAGCGGCGGAGGUUGGUGCGCCACGGAGGAAGUUGAAGAGCGAGGGCGUGAGGGGCUGGCCAUCCUCGCGAAGCCGGUGGAAAGGGGGCUUCGAUCCUGUCUGAUGCAAUUAUUCUUGGGGUUCCUAUAUAAGAGAUAUAUCUACGGUGCUCAGCUCAGCCUACCUUCGAUUCGUACGGCGUCGCCCAUGGAUCCUCAUAUCCUUGUCGCCCAUGAGUGAUGGACGCUGUAUAGUUAUGCAGUGCUGCUGGUGUGAAGUUUGCAGAUAUUCAGUUAUAAAAUAUUUGUGGUUCAUCAGUUCCUUUUGUGCAUGUUGUCAAGAAUGUGUCAUAUGAGCCAAGAUUCAAACGCUUCUGGAUGUGAAUUUGACAAAACGGAUCAUCUUAGUAGGAUGAGUGUCCUGAAGAAUUGGAAGAUGCUGCAAAACAUGAUGAUGUGAUACUGCCAUGCUAUUUCUACUGGUCUCUCUGCUAGUGCCUUAUCGCUCGUUCACCAAUCUCCAUCCUCACCAUGGUCUCUGUACUCAACAAGGGUGAACUCUACAAGUUCUAGUAGGCUCCUCGGUGACUCCUCACAGGAGAGCUUUUGGCCUGAUCUGAUGGAGCUGAGAGGUCAAAGGAAGAAGUCAAACCUGAAGAAGUGCAGGGUGGAAAUUACAGUUGUGUGUGUCCGGCUGGUUCAGGGGAUGUGCAGGGCGGCCGUAGCCAUGCGGGUGUCGAGGCAGGCGAUCUCGCGGAUGGAUGCCAUGCUGCGAGGGUAGGUUCCUGGGCGCCCGCUACGUUGAUGACGGAUUCCACGCUGCGAGCGGCAACAAUCGGCGACAAUCGGCGAUGGCGAUCUUGCAGGGAGGCGACGGUGUUGGUGGGCGGCAUCUGGUGCGGUGGUGACUCAAGGCAGACAAACGUCGAGGUCAAGGGCGAGGAAGCAGAUUUGAUUGAGUUUCCUUAGUUUGCGAUUUGAUUGUGUGAUUGUAGGGAAACACGGGAGGGAGCAGAUUUGGUUGUGUUUCCUUAGUUUGCGAUCUGAUUGCGUGAUUGCAGGGAAACAUGGGAUUGGUUGUUGGAAUACUCCUAUGGUGGUGGAGUACGGUCAGUCAUUAGAAAUUGCUAAGUACACAUCAUCCCGCUAUUAGAUAAAUGAUGGCCGUUAGAUUGAAAUUUGUGGGACUAAUCGUGUGGUUCUGACUGGGUUGUGCGGUGUUGUGGGGGCUAAUAGUGGGGUGCGUGUAAGAAAGUUCUUGUUCGAUUGUUUAAUAGUAGUGGAGAU